AUACACCAGUACACUUUUCAUUCUAUGGUGUGUCAAGGUAGUCGCGAGAACGAGGCUGAACAUUUUGACGAGUAAACAAAUCAAAUUCUAUUUAUUCAUUUUAAUCCUAACUGAAGCCAUUACGUAUGUCAUCAAGUGGUUAAAUAUAGAGAUCCAUACACAAAUAUAAUUUAUCAAAUCACACUCCUUUCAAAGAUGUAUGGGACAACAAUUUUUGUGACAGGAGGAGCAGGAUAUGUUGGAUCUCACACAGUGUUGGUGUUAUUAAAUGCUGGUUAUGAAGUAGUCGUAGUGGACAAUCUUAUUAAUGCUGUACCUGGUAAAGAUGGUUUCUUGCCUGAAAGUUUAAGAAGGGUACAAGAGUUAACAGGAAAAUCUCUGACAUUCUAUAAAGUGGACUUGUUGGAUAAAGAAGGUCUGGAAAACAUCUUUUGUAAGCAUAAACUUGAAUAUGUCAUUCACUUUGCUGCUCUAAAGGCUGUUGGGGAGUCCUGCCAAAUUCCACUGGAUUACUACCAUAAUAAUAUUAAUGGGACAAUCAGUUUACUAGAGGUGAUGAAGAAGUUCAAUGUUAAGAAGAUUAUUUUCUCCAGCUCAGCUACAGUAUAUGGCGUUCCUCAGUAUCUUCCACUAGAUGAAAAACAUCCAGUAGGAACAAACUGUACCAAUCCGUAUGGUAGAACCAAGUAUUUUAUUGAAGAAGUUUUGAGAGACAUUUCUGUUGCUGAAAAGAGAUGGAACAUUAUUCUUCUGAGAUAUUUUAAUCCAGUUGGGGCACAUGAUUCUGGCCAAAUUGGUGAAGACCCACAAGGAAUUCCUAACAAUCUGAUGCCAUAUAUCUCUCAGGUUGCUGUUGGACGACGUCAUGAAGUACAAGUAUUUGGAAAAGAUUUCAGAACCCCUGAUGGUACAGCGAAAAAAGAAAAGAAGACCAAGUAGAUAAUGUCUGUUCUGCGUGAGAGAGUAUUGCAGUAUCAUACAGUAUCUGGGUUGAAAGCAUUAGUAACUACAAUAUCGUUUACUCUGAAAAUGAUGUUAUCCAAAUGUAGCAGCUGACUAAUGCUGUGAGAGAACAAAGGUCACAAGGAGAUGCUGUCAUCAGGACAGAGAAACACAGUUUACCUGUUGAAUUCAGGAAUGAGGGAUUAUAUACAUGUACUAGACCUAGCAGAAGGUCAUGUGGCUGCUUUGAAAAAACUUGAUGAAAUAAAAGGAUGUAUGCUAUAUAUUAUGCAGGUUCU
rnacentral:misc_RNA from 1 species